GACGAACGCUGGCGGCGUGCUUAACACAUGCAAGUCGAACGGAAAGGCCCUGCUUUUGUGGGGUGCUCGAGUGGCGAACGGGUGAGUAACACGUGAGUAACCUGCCCUUGACUUUGGGAUAACUUCAGGAAACUGGGGCUAAUACCGGAUAGGAGCUCCUGCUGCAUGGUGGGGGUUGGAAAGUUUCGGCGGUUGGGGAUGGACUCGCGGCUUAUCAGCUUGUUGGUGGGGUAGUGGCUUACCAAGGCUUUGACGGGUAGCCGGCCUGAGAGGGUGACCGGCAACAUGGGGACGGAGAUACGGCCCGACCUCCUCCGGGGGGCAGCGGUGGGGAAUUUGGCAAAAGGGGCGGAAGCCUGAGGCAGCAACGCCGGGUGGGGGAUGACGGCCUUCGGGUUGAAAACCGUUUUCGCUUGUGAAGAAGCGUGGGGGGCGGUAAUGGGAAAAGAAGCACCGGCUAACUGCGG
rnacentral:rRNA from 1 species